UAUAGGUUAGUUUAACGGUAGAACUUUGGUCUUCCAAACCAAGAAUGCAGGUUCGACUCCUGCACCUAGGA
rnacentral:tRNA from 1 species